AAUCCGUGUUGCGGGCACUUUCUCUGGAGCUCCUUAAACCUUUCCCAUUUUUCAAAUAGACUCCAAUUCCAAUUGUACAAAGGAUAAGAUCUCAUUCCUAAGCUU